GCGGAGCUGAUCAUAAUACGCGUGUGUGAAGAAGGCCUUAGGGUUGUAAGCACUUUCAAUAGGGAGGAAUACCUUUAGCUAAUACCUAGAAGAAUGACAUACCUAUAGAAGAAGCACCGGCUAACUCCGUGCCAGCAGCCGCGGUAAUCGGAGGGUGCAAGCGUUAAUCGGAAUUCUGGGCGUAAAGCGUGCGUAGGCGGCUAAUUAAGCCAGAUGUGAAACCCUGGGCUUAACCUGGGAACUGCAUUUGGAACUGGUAAGCUAGAGUUGAGUAGAGGUAAGUGGAAUUUCAGGUGUAGCGGUGAAAUGCGUAGAGAUCUGAAGGAACACCAGUGGCGAAGGCGACUUACUGGACUCAAACUGACGCUGAGGUACGAAAGCGUGGGUAGCAAACAGGAUUAGAUACCCUGGUAGUCCACGCUGUAAACGAUGUCAACUAGCCGUUGGUCUUUAUAUAAAGAUUAGUGGCGAAGCAAACGCGAUAAGUUGACCGCCUGGGGAGUACGGCCGCAAGGUUAAAACUCAAAUGAAUUGACGGGGGCCCGCACAAGCGGUGGAGCAUGUGGUUUAAUUCGAUGCAACGCGAAGAACCUUACCUACCCUUGACAUCCUCAGAACUUGUUAGAGAUAACUUGGUGCCUUCGGGAACUG
rnacentral:rRNA from 1 species